GGAGGGCGCAAGCGUUGUUCGGAAUUACUGGGCGUAAAGCGCGUGCAGGUGGUUCGGUAAGUCGGGUGUGAAAUCCCCGGGCUCAACCCGGGAACUGCAUCCGAAACUGCCGAGCUAGAGUCCCGGAGAGGAAGGCAGAAUUCCCAAUGUAGGGGUGAAAUCCGUAGAUAUUGGGAGGAAUACCAGUUGCGAAGGCGGCCUUCUGGGCGGUGACUGACACUCAGACGCGAAAGCGUGGGGAGCAAACAGGAUUAGAUACCCUGGUAGUCCACGCCGUAAACGUUGCGGACUAGGUGUCGGGGGUAUUCACCCCCUCCCGGUGCCCGGAGCUAACGUUUUAAGUCCCGCCGCCUGGGAAGUACGGCCGCAAGGCUA
rnacentral:rRNA from 1 species